AUUCUUUAAAAUACAAGCGAGUCAGAUACCAAGGGCACAGAGAUGAAGCAGGUCUGAUCAGAAACAGUUAAUUUUCCGGCCAGAAAGCACAAAUAAAAACACCCUUAAAACGGGUGUUGUUGUCACCCUGCUGGGUCCAUAGGAGCCUCUACCAGGAGGCUGAGGGGCAGCGUUGGAGGUCAUCAGUGUUUUUAUCCUGAAGUUACCAGAAAGGCUCAACUUCACUCUUUGUUGCAUUAUAGAGACAGAAGUUUAAAUAGUGUUUAACAGGACAAUCAAAGCUAAAAUGGUUUAAAAGAUGAACUCAUUAAAAAACACUAACAAAUCUUCAUGAUUCAAAUACUGAGAAGCUUCAACAACAAAUAUGUGUUCAAGCCAACAUGAUGUUUGCUCCUGUAACUGAUUGUUUUUCCAUCUUGUUCUCUGAAUAUGUUACCAAAGGGCUCCAUAACUAAUGUCAUUCAUUUUGUUUCUUAUCAUUGAAACUGUUGUAGAAAAUCCACUUUGUUAAGAAAACAGAGAAAAGACCGUCUUUCUAUGAAACUUCAGAAAAAUGUUGUACAAGACAAACUGAACAACAUCAGAGCGACAUCAUGACUUCCUGUAACUUUUCUCUAUCCAGCUAAACAUGAGUACCUUCCAUUUUCUCCUGCAGAGGAUUCUGGGAAAAGUCCAUCGUGCACUGACGUCCUGUGUGUGUGUUUUAUUGUGCAGAUGCAGCUGCAGUCUGCUCAGCAGUGAGAACUGAAGACGUCAGUCAAAGAGAAGGAAAAACAGUCAGAGCUGAGAGAGUUUCUACCAGAGCCAAAUGUCAUCGACUCCUCACUGAAGUCGUCCACCAGUCCAACCACUGGAAUCCAGCUGCUGCUCUCUAACUGGUCCACACAGCAGCUCAGACCUGACACAUUCACUGUAAACACACUGGUUUAUAUUCUGUUUGUUCUCCUCAUGAAGGAAACCUCACACAACCACUGAGGCCAGAAAGUUCAAACAGGACAGUUAUUAUUCCUUUCUUUUAUAAAGAAGCUGGGAAACUGACUUUACCAAACUUUUUAUAUUAAAAAGAUAACAUUUUCUUUACCAAACCUUUCAGAAUAAAAGCAUGACCAAGACAUCAUUUAUACAUAAACAGUAAUAAAUCUUAUGUAACUAAAAUGUAGAUCUAAUCCAUGUUUUCAUGUCUUCAGUAACUUUGCUGUUAUUUAUGUUAUUUCUAAGUGUGCUGUCGUCUCCACAGCAGUGAUCUGGUUUCUCUGCAGGUUCAAUAAACUUUGGUCUCACUUGA